CCUACGGGAGGCAGCAGUAGGGAAUUUUUCACAAUGGGCGAAAGCCUGAUGGAGCAACGCCGCGUGCAGGAUGAAGGCCUUCGGGUUGUAAACUGCUUUUAUAAGCGAGAAAUAUGAUGGUAACUUAUGAAUAAGCAUCGGCUAACUCCGUGCCAGCAGCCGCGGUAAUACGGAGGAUGCGAGCGUUAUCCGGAUUUAUUGGGUUUAAAGGGUGCGUAGGCGGAACAUUAAGUCAGCGGUAAAAUCGAGGGGCUCAACCCCUUUAAGCCGUUGAAACUGGUGAUCUUGAGUGGGCGAGAAGUAUGCGGAAUGCGUGGUGUAGCGGUGAAAUGCAUAGAUAUCACGCAGAACUCCGAUUGCGAAGGCAGCAUACCGGCGCCCGACUGACGCUGAGGCACGAAAGCGUGGGGAUCGAACAGGAUUAGAUACCCCAGUAGUC
rnacentral:rRNA from 1 species